AAGCUACCUGCAAACCUGAAUCUCUCUCACUACUUCUUCAAACGCAAACGCAUGCAUGCUUCAUCAUCUCAUUGCUUCUCUAGACUAUCUUCUCUAAGCUAACAACAUGCUCUAUCACUCUCUUGUUUUUCUAUGGACUAUCUUCCUCCUCUGUCCUCUUCUUUAGCUUCUUCUUAAUCUCAUUCUUCUCAAAUCUCAUUUUUCUUGGUCUUCUUCAUCUUGGUUGGUGUGUUGAUGCAUACACAGAUCUGAGGAUAUUAUACUGUUUUUUCAUUUUUUUUUCUGAAUCUUCAAAACUGCACAUACCCACCCGAUAAACCCGUGACCCGAACCCGUACAAACCGAAGAAGAAAAAUGGGUGGAAAUGGGUUGCUACACACAAACCGCGGGUUGGGAUGGGUUGAAGGUUUGGGCCCGAACCCGCCCGAUGUCCACCCCUAUAUAUAUCAUUUAAUCUAUAUUGCAAGUGGGGUUAUGAUUGUUUAUGCAUUUAUUUAUUUACAUGAUUAGAUAAAUUUUUUAGUUUAAAAGUGGUGGUCUGACAAUUCAAAACAAUUUUGUACAGACAAUCGGUGAAAAUACUUUGAAGUGGAAGAAUGUAGUUACAUUUAUUUUAUAUUGUUAUUUUAUUAAUUUGAUGCGGC
rnacentral:lncRNA from 1 species